GGUCAGGACGAACGCUGGCGGCGUGCUUAACACAUGCAAGUCGAACGAAGCAGCAGUGAAGGAGGCUUCGGCCAAUGGAACUGUUGACUAGUGGCGGACGGGUGAGUAACGCGUGAGCAACCUGCCUUUCAGAGGGGGAUAACGUUUGGAAACGAACGCUAAUACCGCAUGACAUAACGGUAUCGCAUGGUAUUGUUAUCAAAGGAGCAAUCCGCUGAGAGAUGGGCUCGCGUCCGAUUAGAUAGUUGGUGGGGUAACGGCCUACCAAGUCGACGAUCGGUAGCCGGACUGAGAGGUUGAACGGCCACAUUGGGACUGAGACACGGCCCAGACUCCUACGGGAGGCAGCAGUGGGGAAUAUUGCACAAUGGGCGCAAGCCUGAUGCAGCAACGCCGCGUGAGGGAAGACGGUUUUCGGAUUGUAAACCUCUGUCCUUGGUGAAGAUAAUGACGGUAGCCGAGGAGGAAGCCACGGCUAACUACGUGCCAGCCGCGGC
rnacentral:rRNA from 1 species